CAAGCGGCUUGAAGCUGGCUGCCAUGGCCCCCAGCAUGUCCACCCCUAACUGCGGUCAGCGGCUUAUGCCCAAGGGAUCCAGGUGAGCUAGUGAACCCCGUGCUCUUCCUGCCUUCCCACAUCCAGCAACACACAGCUCUCCAAAUCCAGGUCAUUGUCAGGCUCCUACCUCGUCCCGGAAUGACGGGGGACUCCUCACCAGGCUGGCCUCUGCGCUGCGCCACCUCCGCUGACACCAACCCCGGCCACUGGGCCUCGGUUCUUGUUCCCGGUUGCUUUCUGCUUGUCUUCCAGCACCGUCGCCAUCGGAAAUGACCCCACUUAUGAAGGCAUCGUCUGUCUCUUUCAACAAACUGUCCCAUCACGGCGAUGGCCCUUGGACCCGUGUUUCACCGCCAUAUCCCCGGGCUCCAGCACAGCACCUAACACGUAGAGGAUGUUCGGUCAUCUCUGCAGAGGAAGCUUCUUCCAGCCGUGGACAUACCUGCCGCCACUCACCUUCCAACACGACAAUUCUGCGACACCAGCAGGACACCACAGAUAAUGAAGACACAGCAUGAACAAAACUGGAAAGUUUUCGAUCUAUAGAUGCUGGGAACCUGGGAAUAUUUGUCAAAGAUUUAAUUACUGCUUUGCCCUAUUCAAAACAUUCAAUAAAUAAAC